AUUGAACGCUGGCGGCAGGCCUAACACAUGCAAGUCGAACGAGUGGCGGACGGGUGAGUAAUGUGUGGGAAACUGCCCGAUGGAGGGGGAUAACUACUGGAAAAGGUAGCUAAUAUCGCAUACCAUCUGGGGUGUCCAGAUGGGAUUAGCUAGAAGGUGGGGUAACGGCUCACCUAGGCGACGAUCCCUAGCUGGUCUGAGAGGAUUACCAGCCACACUGGAACUGAGACACGGUCCAGACUCCUACGGGAGGCAGCAGUGGGGAAUAUUGCACAAUGGGCGCAAGCCUGAUGCAGCCAUGCCGCGUGUAUGAAGAAGGCCUUCGGGUUGUAAAGUACUUUCAGCGAGGAGGCGUUACUCGCAGAAGAAGCACCGGCUAACUCCGUGCCAGCCGCCGCGGUAAUUC
rnacentral:rRNA from 1 species